AUGAUUUUCCACCUAUCCUUUCCAGUCGCCUUUGGUUCCGGGAAGUUAUUCAGCGUCCCGCCCCCUGGUCUGCAAGACAGUGCCGAGGGCGGAAACGCCCAGUAUCUGUGUACGUGUCUCCUGACAUACUUAUCUGUACAUGUUCUUGCUGACAAUGUUUGUGCUAUGGUUUCAUCCUACCUCUCCUUCCUUACGUUUAGGUGUGCAGGCCACAGAAACAUGAAUUGCUGCAUCGUCCUUCUAAAGCUGCUGCUUCCUCUUUAAGAAGCCACUGACAUUUGAACUUCUCGAACGUCGCUGACUUCCCACUUUGAUCUCAGUCCAAGUCAGCUGGAGAGCAGGUUAGUCAUCCCUCCUCUGAGGUCACUGAGGAUGUUUACUAAUGCUGGAGCAUGCCUCAGGAACUAUUCACACACAUGGAUUGGUAGGGUUUCUGGCUGAAUUUAAAUUUUGUCUUUAUGUUAUAUUGUUUGUUGUGAACCAAGCAAAGCCAAACUCAAGACUUUAUGUGCCUGGCACAAAGGCACAGUUUGUAGCCAGACUGCAUGUCUGAGAGUCUGGGCGCAGACUGCAUGUCUGGAGUCAUGUCUGACUCUGCAUUUUAGGAAGUAACAGGGGCAGUG
rnacentral:lncRNA from 1 species